GACGAACGCUGGCGGCGUGCUUAACACAUGCAAGUCGAACGGUGAACCUCUUCGGAGGGGAUCAGUGGCGAACGGGUGAGUAACACGUGGGCAACCUGCCCCCGGCUCUGGGAUAACUCCAAGAAAUUGGGGCUAAUACCGGAUGUUCACCGCUUCCCGCAUGGGUGGUGGUGGAAAGGGUUUCCGGCUGGGGAUGGGCCCGCGGCCUAUCAGCUUGUUGGUGGGGUAGUGGCCUACCAAGGCGACGACGGGUAGCCGGCCUGAGAGGGUGACCGGCCACACUGGGACUGCGACACGGCCCAGACUCCUACGGGAGGCAGCAGUGGGGAAUAUUGCGCAAUGGGCGGAAGCCUGACGCAGAGACGCCGCGUGGGGGAUGACGGCCUUCGGGUUGUAAACAUCUUUCAGCAGGGACGAAGCGCAAGUGACGGUACCUGCAGAAGAAGCACCGGCCAACUACGUG
rnacentral:rRNA from 1 species